UCUCUUUGAGCAUCCUGGGGCCUUCAAGGUCUCCUUGAGCCUCUUGGGGUUUCUGUGGGCUCCUUGGGGUCUCCUUGAGAUUCUUGGGGUCUCCAUGGGCUCAGCAAAGUCUCCUUGAGCCUCUUAGGGUCUCCAGUGACUCCUCGGGAUCUCAUUGAGCAUUUGUGGACCUUCAGGAUUUCCUUGGGCAUCUCGGGAUCUCCAUUGGGUCCCUGGGGUCCCUUUGAGCCUCUUGGGGUUUUCUUGGGCUCUUUGAAGCCUCCUUGAGCCUCUCGGGGUCUCCA
ensembl:lncRNA